CCGAACGGAUCGCAGUUGGCCUUUGGGCCCGCGAUGGAUCUUUCAAGUUUCUGACCUAUCAGCUUUCGACGGUAGGGUAUUGGCCUACCGUGGCAGUGACGGGUAACGGGGAAUUAGGGUUCGAUUCCGGAGAGGGAGCCUGAGAAACGGCUACCACAUCUAAGGAAGGCAGCAGGCGCGCAAAUUACCCAAUGAAAACAGUUUCGAGGUAGUGACGAGAAAUAACAAUACAGGGCAUUUUAUGCUUUGUAAUUGGAAUGAUGGGAAUGUAAAACCCUUCCAGAGUAACAAUUGGAGGGCAAGUCUGGUGCCAGCAGCCGCGGUAAUUCCAGCUCCAAUAGUGUAUAUUAGAGUUGUUGCAGUUAAAAAGCUCGUAGUUGGAUUUCUGUCGUGGUCAUCCGGCACCGCCCGUAUGGGUGUGCGCCAGGUUUGCCCGCGGCUUUCUUCCGGUAGCCUUCCGCGCUUCAGUGCGUGUGUUGGUGUUCUGGAACUUUUACUUUGAGAAAAAUAGAGUGUUUCAAGCAGGCUUGUCGCCCUGAAUACUGCAGCAUGGAAUAAUAAGAUAGGACCUUGGUUCUAUUUUGUUGGUUUCUAGGACCAAGGUAAUGAUUAAUAGGGACAGUUGGGGGCAUUCGUAUUUAACUGUCAGAGGUGAAAUUCUUAGAUUUGUUAAAGACGAACUACUGCGAAAGCAUUUGCCAAGGAUGUUUUCAUUAAUCAAGAACGACAGUAGGGGGUUUGAAGACGAUUAGAUACCGUCGUAAUCUCUACCAUAAACUAUGCCGACUAGAGAUAGGGAAACGCCUACCUUGGCUUCUCCUGCACCUCAUGAGAAAUCAAAGUCUCUGGGUUCUGGGGGGAGUAUGGUCGCAAGGCUGAAACUUAAAGGAAUUGACGGAGGGGCACCACCAGGCGUGGAGCCUGCGGCUUAAUUUGACUCAACACGGGGAAACUCACCAGGUCCAGACAUGGGAAGGAUUGACAGAUUGAUAGCUCUUUCUUGAUUCUAUGGGUGGUGGUGCAUGGCCGUUCU
rnacentral:rRNA from 1 species